rnacentral:SRP_RNA from 11 species
GAUUGACAAGCGAACUGGAUAAGGCUGUGCUUGAAAGAGAGCAGGCUGCCCAGCAGCUUGAGAACGUGGAGCGA